CAGCAGCCGCGGUAAUGCGUAGGUGGCAAGCGUUGUCCGGAAUUAUUGGGCGUAAAGGGCUCGCAGGCGGUUUCUUAAGUCUGAUGUGAAAGCCCCCGGCUCAACCGGGGAGGGUCAUUGGAAACUGGGAAACUUGAGUGCAGAAGAGGAGAGUGGAAUUCCACGUGUAGCGGUGAAAUGCGUAGAGAUGUGGAGGAACACCAGUGGCGAAGGCGACUCUUUGGUCUGUAACUGACGCUGAGGAGCGAAAGCGUGGGGAGCGAACAGGAUUAGAUACCCCUGUAGUCCCUGUCUCUUAUAC
rnacentral:rRNA from 1 species